GAUGAACGCUGGCGGCGUGCCUGAUACAUGCAAGUCGAGCGAAUGGAUUAAGAGCUUGCUCUUAUGAAGUUAGCGGCGGACGGGUGAGUAACACGUGGGUAACCUGCCCAUAAGACUGGGAUAACUCCGGGAAACCGGGGCUAAUACCGGAUAACAUUUUGAACCGCAGGGUGCGAACUUGAAAGGCUGCUUCGGCUGUCACUUAUGGAUGGACCCGGGUCGCAUUUGGUAGUUGGUGCGGUAACGGGUCACCAAGGCAACGAUGCGUAGCCGACCUGAGAGGGUGAUCGGCCACACCGGGACUGAGACACGGCCCAGACUCCUACGGGAGGCAGCAGUAGGGAAUCUUCCGCAAUGGACGAAAGUCUGACGGAGCAACGCCGCGUGAGUGAUGAAGGCUUUCGGGUCGUAAAACUCUGUUGUUAGGGAAGAACAAGUGCUAGUUGAAUAAGCUGGCACCUUGACGGUACCUAAACAGAAAGCCACGGCUAACUACGUGCCAGCCGCCGCUGUAA
rnacentral:rRNA from 1 species